rnacentral:rRNA from 1 species
AGUGAACGCUGGCGGUAGGCCUAACACAUGCAAGUCGAACGGCAGCACAGUAAGAGCUUGCUCUUACGGGUGGCGAGUGGCGGACGGGUGAGGAAUACAUCGGAAUCUACUUUUUCGUGGGGGAUAACGUAGGGAAACUUACGCUAAUACCGCAUACGACCUACGGGCGAAAGCAGGGGAUCUUCGGACCUUGCGCGAUUGAAUGAGCCGAUGUCGGAUUAGCUAGUUGGCGGGGUAAAGGCCCACCAAGGCGACGAUCCGUAGCUGGUCUGAGAGGAUGAUCAGCCACACUGGAACUGAGACACGGUCCAGACUCCUACGGGAGGCAGCAGUGGGGAAUAUUGGACAAUGGGCGCAAGCCUGAUCCAGCCAUACCGCGUGAGUGAAGAAGGCCUUCGGGUUGUAAAGCCCUUUUGUUGGGAAAGAAAAGCAGCAGGUUAAUACCCCGCUGUUCUGACGGUACCCAAAGAAUAAGCACCGGCUAACUUCGUG